rnacentral:ncRNA from 1 species
UCAUUUAAUUAGUGACGCGCAGGAAUGGAUUAACGAGAUUCUUACUGUCCCUAUCUACU